rnacentral:rRNA from 1 species
UACGAAGGGGGCUAGGCGUUGCUCGGAAUCACUGGGCGUAAAGGGUGCGUAGGCGGGUUUUAAGUCAGAGGUGAAAUCCUGGAGCUCAACUCCCAGAACUGCCCUUUGAUACUGAAGGUCUUGAGUAUGGGAGAGGUGAGUGGAACUGCGAGGUGUAGAGGUGAAAUUCGUAGAUAUUCGCAAAGAACACCAGUGGCGAAGGCGGCUGACUGGCCCAUU